GACAGAGGGUGGCAAACGUUGCUCGGAAUCACUGGGCGUAAAGGGCGUGUAGGCGGGAAGGAAAGUCAGAUGUGAAAUCCCUGGGACUCAACCCAGGAACUGCAUUUGAAACUCCCUUUCUUGAGUGUCGGAGAGGAGAGCGGAAUUCCUGGUGUAGAGGUGAAAUUCGUAGAUAUCAGGAGGAACACCGGUGGCGAAGGCGGCUCUCGUGGACGAUAACUGACGCUGAGACGCGAAAGCGUGGGGGAGCAAACAGG
rnacentral:rRNA from 1 species